rnacentral:lncRNA from 1 species
AUCAAUGAAGUUGGUGUUUGAAUGACGGGAGAGCUACUGAAGAGACACUGUUUUGAAGAUCUUGGCAUAGCAGAAACACUACCUCAUCUGCUGCCCUAUUUCUGCCUUCCUUCAGAAGACUUAGGCCUACAGAAAACCACCAUGUGCUGUCUGAGUCGAUAAUAUCCUCUGAGAAAAGGGUAAAGUAUUUUUGACUGUGAAAUGUAAUGGCUCUGAUUUUCUUUAGGAAAUGUUUAAGAAAGUGAGGGUUUGGCAAAAGAAAAACAAAAAGAGGGACAAAUGGAACAAAAUUUUGUAAUAAAUAAUGCCACAUAUGAUUUUUUAAAGCUUUG